ACAUGUGCUGCUUUGCAAGAAUACACAGCUUACAAAACUUCAGCUUUUGUGAAGUGAUGUGCAGACUAGCAACCAUGCCUGAAUGUAUAAGCUUUUUGAUGUCCUGAUAGUGUGUCCAAGCUGUUGAUGCCAGGUCUGGAGGUCAACAGGAUGCUGGGAUCCCACAUAAAGAAGGGUUGAGUAGGGAAUUCCAAUUCUACAUUGAGCCAGUAGAGACCAGCGUGAUGCCUCCCACUAGCAAUAACACUCUCAUUCUUCAGAAUCAAGCAUUGCAUAAGAGCUCCAUGUUGCAAUCAACGACCUUACCAACCGAGAAGAGGGAUUUCUUGAUGCCAGGGACAUGCUAUGGCAGCCACAACCUUCCCAUAAGUAAAGGGGACUUUGAUGGUGCCUAUGCCACACAUGCUGUGGGAGUAGUCAUCACUAUGCUUACCCUCUGGAAUCACGUCCAAGCAACUGAAGAGUUCCUGGAUGUGUGUUGGCGCUACUGUCAAGCCAAAAAGCUCUCAUUGAUUGGGAAACUCAAG
rnacentral:lncRNA from 1 species